UAAGCUUGCACAUUUGGAAAGCUCACACCUUUCCUUUAAACUCCUCCUUCAGCUUAUUCAAGCUAGUUUGGGGAUCUUAUAAGUUUGAGCCGAUAUUAUCUUCUCUACAAGCAGUCCUUAAUGACUUGCUUGUGCUUUGACAGCUUCUUUCUUUUCAACAAGCAGGGGAAGCAAAAUCAAUGGUCCCGUAAGACAUAGGCUCAUGAUACCAAUUGUUGGUGCAAGAGGCAGCAACAAAAGAGAGAACAAGAGCACAGAACAUGAAGCAAGGUGUAAGAAGCAUUUUUACUUGCUCACAAAUGUGCAGCAAGGGAGCUAAUGGCUGAUAGCUCAUUCAGCUCAUUCAUUCAACUAGAAAAAACAUACAUUUAUAGUCAAAUACAUCACCAAAUAGUCAACUAACCCCACUAAUCAGCAUUGAGACUAUUAAAACAUUGCUUGUACACAUAAACAAGCCACCUAAACUAGUCAUUCAACACCUAAUGCAUCAAGUUGUCAUCAACUUGUCCAUUUUAAACUAGAUUAAUUAGAAUGAAACUAAAGAGAAACCUUGCUGUUACAGCAAGCAUAUGUGCUGCAGCAUGUCAUCAAGCUGCAUGCACUUCAACCACAAAAUGUAACAGCAGCAUGGUUGGCCAAUUUCCAAUACAGGUUCUUCCUGAAUUGUACGAUUCCUUUAUAUCUGCAAUACAGAAGAAGGGUAACAUAAGAAUAGCGCCGAAUAAAAUCAUGGCUGCUGCUCCACACCUGACUCCUGGUGCGCUUUUGAUUGGAGAUGCACUCAACAUGCGGCACGCUAUAACCGGAGGGGGAAUGACUGUUGCUCUGUCUGAUGUCGUAAUACUUAGGGAUCUUCUAAGACCCUUGCAUGAUCUAUCCGAUGCAUCCACCAUUUCAAAAUAUCUCGAAUCUUUUUAUACCCUGAGGAAGGUAUUGUAGUUUCAUGUUUUAUAUGCAUUUUGAAAGUGAAUGGCAAUGAUGAAAACGGUAUAAUUUUGCCCUUUAACUACAUGCAGCCAAUGUCAUCUACACUAAAUAUACUGGCUAAUGUCCUACAGAAGGUAUUCAGUGCCUCGUCCAAUCCAGCAAUGAAGAAUCUGCAGCACACCUUUUUGGGGUAUUUGAGACUUGGAGGGAUGUUUUCAUAUGGAGCAUCCGCUAUGCUCUGUGGUUUAUGCCCUUCUUCAUUAAGCUUAGCAUUUCAUUUCUUUUCCAUUGCAAUAUAUGGCGUUGGCCGAUUGUUACUUCCAUUUCCUUCUCCCAGGCGUUUGUGGGAUGGGGCUAAAUUCCUUUGGGUCAGUAUCUUUACCAAACAUUUAUAUAAUAACAUGAUAUAAAUAUAUAAGAUCUUAAAUAUGAUUAUUAUAUAGAAUCAUAUUAAUAAAAAUAUUUUCAUGUUUUUCAGAUGGCAUCAAGUGUUCUUCUCCCCUACAUAUACUCUGAAGGAACCAGACAAAUGUUCUUCCCUCUAACUGUGCCAGCAUAUUAUAGAACUCCCCCUGAAAAUAAGGACAAAAAAAACUUCAUGCAAUAAUUAGCAGCAUUUGUUGGAACAAUUCUAUGUUCAUAACACAAUCUCAUACAUCUGUUACUUGCAUUCUUAAGUAGGUCUUAAGACAAUUGGACGCAUGUGUAGAGACAAUGACGCAUCAAAGCUAAAAUAAGAAAAUAGAUAAGGUAAGUCUCGAGAGACAUUAAUUAUUAAUUGUUGUAUAUUGAUUUAAAUGUUUAUGGUAAGUAAAUAAGGUAAGUGUUAGCAUUUUUUAUAUUGAAUUGAAUGUAUGUGAAAUUGCGAUUUAUGUGAUAAUUGAGUAUUGGAUAAUUAUGGCAUUAGAAAAGUGAACUAAAACUCUGUUAACUGUAUCGGGCUGAGUUGGAUAUAGAUGGCAUGCCAUAGGAUUAGAAGAGUUUAGGGAUACUUCGACUUAGAGUCGAUGAGACACUGGGUGUCAAAUUAUUACUUCGGAUAAAUUCGAUGAAAUACUGGGUACCAAUUUACUUCUGCAUGGCCGAUGAGACAUUGUGUGUCAACUUAUUGCUUCGAAUUAUCCGAUGAGGCACUGGGUGCCAAACUGGUGUGUUUUGGUUGGAUUCGUGUAUCCGUCCGAGUCCGUGUCAUGUUAAUAGGGGUUACUGAAUAAAAUAGUGUUAUGAUUGAUAUUGAGUGGUGAUUUGAAAUAUGGUUAGAGACACAUGAUUUGUGUAUUUAUGAAUUGAAUAUGAAUGAACAAUAUUGUUGUUCAAAUGAUUUGUGUUCAUAUUGUGAAAAGCAAUCUGGGAUAGCAAAUGAUAAAAUUUGAAUGUGUUAUAAAUAUCUUAUUUAUGAAUUGAAUAAUUGUAUGGCUAUAGUUAUUGUAUGUUAUAUUAUUUUACUUUUAAGCAUUUGGAUUAUAAAAAUACCACUGAAUUUAUACUCAGCAUACGGUUUAUUUUCCGUGCGCAGGUUAGGUUAAAGUCAGAUUGUCGAUUCAGCAUCCAUCAACGAUCCCGAGCUUAAAACGUGGUGAUGUAUAUUUCUUUUUGUGUCGGCAUGUACCUAGGAUGUCUUAUGCUUGUCAUUUUGGGAAGUGAAUGUAAAUGAUGUUAUAAGAUGAUAUUGGUUACUUAUAUACAUAAUUAUACGUGUUAAGUUGAGGUUUAAUGUGGAAUGUUUAAGUUGAUGCAUAAGUGAAUGUGAUAUAGGCAAAUUUGGGUUGAAAUUGGUAUGAAUUUAGAAUUGGAUUAAUUGGUGUUUUAUUUGAUUGUUUUGAUAAUAUAUGUGAAGUACCUAUGAUGGUACAUUGGUUAGGAAACUAGGAUGAUUGUUUUGACAUGUUUUAAAGUGAUUGAACCAUUGGUUUUUUACUUGCUUGGUGUUCAAGGUUGCAGGGAAGGGUAAACUUGAUGUUUAAGGUUCAUUUUGUGUCCACACUGCCAGACACACGGGUGUGUGGCUGGACCGUGUGAGACGCACGGCUAACACAUAGGCGUGUGUCCCCUGUUUCUUUGAAAAUUUUUUAUGUUUUCGAAAAAAAUUCCUGGAGUACUAUUUGAUUUAGUCCCGAUUUGUUUCUAACACAUAUUUUAAGCCUCGAGGGCUCAUAAAAAGAACAAUGUGAUUAAAUUAUAUGUUGUGUAUGCUAGAUGAUUAUAUAAUGUUCAUAUUUGAUCUGAAAAGUCCGAUAUGCUCCGUAACCCUGUUUCGGUGACGGAUAAGAGUUAGGGAGUGUUACACCCUCUUUCCAUUCUUCCACUUUUCCACUCAACUAAGCACACCUUAAGGGUGUAUAUGGGUGAGAGAUUUGUAGGAGGGCUUCAUUUAAAUUAAGGUUUCAAAAGUCUAAAAAUGAAUUUACCUUUUUCGGGUAAAUAUAUUGAAGAAUUUAAAAUUUUGUGAGUAAUUUCAAGAAUGAAUUUUAAUAGCUCAAAUUCCUUUUUUAAUUCCGCUUAAAUAGGUGGUUUUUCAAAAUCUCUAACAAUUUUAAUUGAUUUAAUACACAUGGUUCGGCUAUAAAAUAAAAACUUAAACCUCAAAAUUUAUUUUAUUUAAUUAUAAUAUAUUUUUUAAAAUUUUAUUGUAUUAAAGUUAUUUAUAAAUUUUUACAAAUAUAAUGAUUUUCAUAUUGAAUAUUGUUUAUAUUAUUUAUAUUUAAUAUAAUUAUUCUUUUUAUAAUUAUUUUCUAAUUUGUAAAAUUCCAUUAACCUAAAUUUUUUUGUAAACCAAUUAUUUACCCCAACAAAAUAACCACAAAUACUAGCAUUUUAAAUAAUCUAAAAAAAUUCUAAUUAUAGGUCUCGAUCAUAUAUGCUCUUUUUGACACAAUGCCUAGAACUACCCAUAGUCCCUCCCCAGCUCAUAGAUAAAAGGAUAAUACGUUUCAGCAGACUCGAAAUCACGUCUUUCUCCUCAUGCCAAUUGAAUUAAGGUUCAAUCGACAAUUCGAUACAAAUUUAAAUAUAUAUAUUUUUUAUAUUUAUGUCAUAUGUUUGCUAUUUUUAUUGUGAAAUUAUUUUAAUUCUGGUUAAAAUUAUUUCGCUUUAAGAUAAUUUAUAUGUUGUAAUUAUAUUUAAUAAAUAUUAUUUAUAAAUUACAAGAAAUAAAAAUAUAUUAUUAAAUGCAAGUAGUUUGAAUUGCGCGGAGUGCGGCUACUUAUAUUCAACCAUCUAUCACAUCUGUUUGAAAUAAAAGAAAAUAAAAUUGUUUUUUUUGAAAAAUUAAAUUGAGUUGUCCUUUUCUCUUUGAUUUUCUCUUUGUCUUUUAGCAAUAAUAGCUUUUCAAGGCUUAAUUUAAUAAGACGAACCCGGGUUGGUUUAGUUUUUUAAAUUACCUUUUCAUCGGUUUGAAUAUUUAAUAGGCUUAAUUUAGUUGGCAAGUUCUUAAGCUUGGUGGUAAUGGGUUUGAAUGAAGGAAUUCUAGUUGUCAAUCUUUGCUUUCACUUUCUCCUAAAUCAUCUACUUGCUAGAUGGUUUUGGUGCAGAACAAAUGAAAUUCAUAUUCGUUUAUGUGAAUAAAAUAAUCGUUUAUUUUUUCAAAAUGCGUAAAUAUUUUGAUUUUCAUAAAAUAUAACUUUAUGAAAAAAAAAAAACUCAACUAUUACAUGUGAAAUUUAAAUUAAAUUAGGAAGGACCAACAAUUGAUUGCUCAUAUAAAUAUCUUAUUUUUUCAGAUUUUUUUUUUCCGAUUCGGAUUCAUCUCUCGUGAUAAAAGUUGAAGUAAAAUUAUUAGUUAUUAAGGUGGAGGCUCGUUCUCACCUGUGCAAAGGGAUAAGCCACUGACAUGACAGCAUCCACAACAGAUGACAAAUAAAAAAUUUAAAGGCGUGAAGUACAAAAACAGGCGCUGCUUCUUCACUCACCAUUCAUUGGACCCCUUUCUUAAAUAAAUGCUGUUCUGCUUGAUUAUCCUUUCCAUACAUUGUUCUUAAAUCAAUGGCUGAGCAGUAUAUAGUUGGAGUUGCAGGUGUUAUAGCCUUUCUUUUGGGGUUUGUUUUCUUAGUGAGAUCUUGGGGGCUGAGCAAGCUGAAAAGAGCAGCUUCAAUGGAAUUCCCAAAGGAAAACUGUGUAAACAAAAAUGGAAAUGGUGAGGGUGAGGGUGAGGCAGUUGGCACUACGGAAAUUAUCAUAGUCGGUGCUGGUGUUGCCGGUGCUGCUCUUGCCUAUUCUCUUGGAAAGGUCCCAAUUUUUACGCUCCUUUAUUUUAACUUUAUAGUAUCAAGUUCGGAGUUGGGAUAAUAAUAGUAACCAACUUUAAAGGUAGGUUUGGAUGAGCGAUUGAGUGCAGUGCGGUGUGUUUAGUUUAUUUUUUGUCUCACGCUACAGUGUCUAAUAUUACCACCACCGCUGUUUUUACACUAACCGCAGGUAAAUGCACCGCCCAUCCAAACUCAUCCUAAAAAGAUAAUUUUCAGUGGCCAAGCCACUAAGAGAUUCGGGGAGUCAAGGCCAAAGGUCUAAAAUUUUUCAAUUUCUUUUUUAUAUACAUGUAAUGUAAUCACCCUCCUAAAUAUAAAAAUAGAUUUUUCUAAUAUUUUUAUAGUAUUAUAAAUAAUAUUAAAAUAUUUUUUAUUAUGAAAAUUGUUAAAAUAAGAUUUCGCAACAAAGUAGAGGAUAAGUUUCUUAUAAAUAAUCUUGUUCUUUAUUUUAAGAGAUGUUGCCGAAACUUUUAAUCUAAACUCUAUAUUUAAUGAUUUUAUUUUUUUUGAAAGAACAUCGUGCACUAAUCAUAUGCUAUUUCUUCUUGAUUGUUCUUUUUAAAUAUGUAUUUAUAUAAUCUUUUUUAAUUUAUAUAUAUUUAGAAAUAUAAUAUGGAACAAAAAUUUUAUAUAAUUCUUUGUAGUGUAAUUAACAUAAAUAAUAUUUGUUAUAAUAUUUUUUUCGUAGCACGUCUAAUUUUAGCUUGGCUCUUUCAAGAUUAAUAUCCUGAUUCUGUCACUGUUCAUUAUUUUAAAAUAAAUAUAAAAGAUACUUUAAUAUAUGUCAAACAAUAAAAUAAAGAAUUGAAAUUCCAUCUUAGGGUCUGUUUGAUUGACGUAAUUGAUUUUUCGGAAAAUCAUUUCUAACUUUUCCAGCGUUUGAUUGGCGGAAAACAUUUUCCAUUUGGAAAAUGAACUCCAAAAAAAGGGAAAAUGGGUUACAUUUUAGGGAAAAUGUCUUACCCUUUCAAUUUCCGUAAGACAUUUUCCGUGCUCUCCUCUCUAUCGCCUCCUUCAUUCCUUCCUUCAUUUUCGGUAGAAAAUUGCUUCUGUUUAUCGAUUUUUCAGUAACUUCUUUUUUUUAAUUAUUCAAUACUUGUUUUUUUAACACAAUUACAAAUAAUUUAUUUGAUAUUAGUUUUUUUCAAUCUAUAACGAUUAAUAUUGUAGCUUAAUAAUUGAGUAUUAUUAUAAAUAAAUCAUUGCAAUAUAUGUAAAAACAAUUUAAAAUAUAAAAAUUUAUUAAUACAUAUUAAUAUAUGCAAAAACAACUUUUCCGGAAAAUAUUUUCAGAAAAUCUGCCAAAUAGCAAAAAAUAUUUUACACAGAUUCAAUCAAACACCAGAAAAUAUUUUCCAGUAAAUCAUUUUACAGAAAAGUAAAACAUUUUCCAGAAAUCAUUUUACGGAAAAUAUUUUACUGGCAAUCAAACAGACCUUAAUUAUAUUUAAUGUAGAAAUACAUAUAAAUAUUUACUAAAUAGAGAUUUUUAAAAAUAUUGUAGAGGUGGAGAAUGCUCCAUUUAGCGUCAAUUAACAUCAGUUUCUGUCUUCAAGUUUUCAUAAGAUCCUUGAAAAAUGGAUUUAACUAUGAUGUUAUACCUAAUAAUUUUUUUAUAAUUAUAUAUUGCAGGAUGGAUGUCAAGUGCAAGUGAUAGAAAGAGACUUAAAUGCACUUAAUAGAUUUGCUGGCGAAUUAUUAAUGCCAGGAGGCUACCUCAAGUUAAUUGAAUUAGGCCUCGUAGGUAAAUAAGAAAAUUAAUGGAAUAUAAUGUUACAAUGAUAUUUCUUUGUAUAUUUUUAUUUAUUUAUUUUACAUUAAAUGUUGGCAAUACAGAUUGUGUAGAUGAGAUUGAUGCUCAACAAAUUUUAGGUUAUACUCUAAACAAGGAUGGAAAGGAGGCUCUCAUAUCUUUUUCAUUGGAAAAGUUUCAGUCUCAUGUUGUAGGAAGAACCUUCCAUAAUGGUCGUUUCGUUCAAAGACUACGAAAGAAAGCCGCAUCUCUUCACAAGUACUUUCUCUCCUUCCUCCCAAUCAUUCUUUAAUUUCAAUAUAAUAUUUUAGAACAUUUAUCUUAAUGGAUUAAAUGACUUGUAGUUGUUUUGAUCCAUUACUUCUAUUUAGACCUAUCAAUUGAGCUCAUUCAGUUGAUUUUGGUUUGAUCAAUCUAGAUAAAUCACUCAAGUUUUUAAACUAACACAUCAUUUUGGUUUUUAUCACUUUAGGCUAAGGAUUAUUUUGGGUUCAGAUCAUUUCAUGUGUAGAUUUGAGUCAUUUUGGGUUCAAACAUUAGAGCUCCAGGUUAUAAUUUUUUGAGUCUGGUCAUUACAAUUUAAUAUCGUUUUGGUUCUAGUCACUUCGAGUUUGGGUCCUUUCAAGUUAAUUUUUGAAUCAUUUUGGGUUUGAGUUGUUUUAAGUUCAAGCUAGUUUGGGUUAGGGUAAAUUUUUGUUAAAGUUGGAGGGACUCAAAUUGUGGACCCUUUAUAGUCAAAUCAAAUUGGAUCAAAUUUAAGUUCCAAUUGGUCGAGUCAAAUUUUUAAAUUCAAGUCAAAAUUGACAUGUUUGGUUCUUUUACUAUACUUUGUUUCAACUUGUUUUAAUCAGAAAUUAUGCCUCUCUUUACAAGCUCCAAAUUCAUGUUUUGAUGAUAUGAUAACGCAGUGUAAGUUUAGAACAAGGGACAGUAACAUCUCUACUUGAAGAAAAUGGUAUUGUCAAAGGAGUGCACUAUAAAGAUAAGAGUGGUCAAUUGCUAACAGCUUAUGCUCCUCUCACCAUCGUCUGUGAUGGUUGUUUCUCGAAUUUGAGACGCUCUCUCUGCCAUUCUAAGGUGAAAAAAAUGCUUACAUAUAUACUCUUGUUAAAUUGGUUUAAUUCUUAUUUUAGUCACUCUAUAACGUUAAAAAUUUGAGAUUUAGUCCUAUUUUAUUGUGCCAUAAUUUGAUUCCAUUAUUUUUGUGAUGAUAUUAGUAUGUCAAAAUAGAUCAGUUGCUUUUAUUAAAGAAUUGACUCAUUUUUUGGUCAUAUAGUCCAGGUCACAUUGAAAUCAAGUCAAUUAGGUUGAACCAAUAAUGAAAUUACAUGUUACUCGAAUGUUAGUUAGUUUUAAUAGAAAUCUAUGUCAUUAUUUCAAUGUAACAAUUAACGAUGUCAUCAAUUUGGGCCUACAAUAAAAGUAGAGAGACUAAAUUUUGCCAAAUUGAAAUAGAGGAAUAAAAUUCCAAUUUCAGCUUGGUAGAGGGAUUAAAACCAUAAUUAGACUUAAAUAUGCUUUGAGAAAAUAUACAUAUAAAGGUCUCGAUUGUUUGUGCAGGUGGAUAUCCCCUCUUAUUUUGUUGGUUUUAUCUUGACGAACUGUAAACUUCCAAAAGAAAAAUAUGGAGCUCUUAUAUUAGCAGAUCCUUCACCUAUCCUAUUUUAUCCCAUUAGUAGCACUGAAAUUCGUUGCUUGGUGGAUGUUCCUAGUCAAAAUCUACCCUCUGUUUCCAAUGGUGAAAUGGCUCAUUACUUGAAAACUUUGGUGGCUCCCAAGGUAUAUUUAUAUCUUUCUUUAAUCGACUCAUUAAUGGAAUUUGGUUGAACUUAUGGACUAACUAUAUGAUCUAUGAUACAUUUCAGGUUCUUCCUGAAUUAUACAAUUCCUUUAUAUCUGCAGUAGAGAAGAAGGGCAACAUAAGAAUAAUGCCGAACAAAAUCAUGGCUGGUGCUCCACACCUCACUCCUGGUGCUUUUUUGAUUGGCGAUGCAUUCAAUAUGCGGCAUGCUAUAACUGCAGGGGGAAUGACUGUUGCUUUAUCUGAUGUUGUGAUACUUAGGGAUCUUCUAAGACCCUUGCAUGAUCUAUCUGAUGCAUCCGCCAUUUGCAAAUAUCUUGAAUCCUUUUAUACUCUGAGGAAGGUAUUGUAAUUCAUGUCCUAUAUGAAUUUUUUAAAGUGAAUAAAAAGGAACAAAAAAUGGCAUAAAUUUUCACUUUUAACUGCAUGCAGCCAAUGUCAUCUACGAUAAAUACACUAGCCAAUGUUUUACAUAAGGUAUUUAGUGCCCCGUCGGAUCCUGCAAUGGAGAAUCUGCAACAAACAUUGUUGGGGUAUUUGAAACUUGGAGGGGUUUUUUCAUCUGGAGUAUCAGCUCUGCUCUCUGGUUUAUGCCCUCGUCCAUUAAGCUUAGUAUUUCAUUUCAUUGUCAUGGCAAUGUAUGGUGUUGGCCAGUUGUUACUUCCAUUUCCUUCUCCCAAACGCUUGUUGGAUGGGGCUAAACUCCUUUGGGUCAGUAUCUCUAGCAAUGAUCAUUUCUCAUAUAUCAUGAUCACUAACACGAUAAAAAUAUAUAAUAAUUUUAAAAUGACGUUAUUUUUUUUUGUUUUUUCAGGUUGCAUCAAGUGUUUUUCUCCCCAUUAUACACUCUGAAGGAGUCAGACAAAUGUUUUUCCCUCUAACUGUGCCAGCAUAUUAUAGAACUCCCCCUAAGGGAAAAAAAAUCUGAGAGGAAACUCCAUGCAUCUGUAGUGAACAAUUCUAUAUAUAUUCGCAAUAGAUUUUCAUAUUUGUUUCUAGUUAGCAUUCUCAAGUAGGCUUAAUGGUCGUUUGUACUCAUAUUAUUUUUAUGUGUCUUGUUUAAAAUUCUAAAUAAAGGUUUUGUAAUUCUUGUGUUGGUGUUAUUUUUAUGUAUCUUGUUUGAAAUAUUGAACUAACGCGUUAGUAUUUUUAAGUAGGUUCAAUAAGCAUCCUAUUCGUAUUGUUUUUGUUAAUAUAACUUAUUCAUGAGUUCAUUAAUAUUAAUAAGUGUGUAGCGAUCUCAUGAGUUUGGAAAGCUCUUUGGGAGAGAUUUUGCACAACUUGAGUGUAUAUCCUAAAGCAUUUGUUGCGAUGGACAGGAUUUUUCUAGAUAGAGCUUUGAUAUAGGUGACUUGAGUGGAAAUAUCUAUCCAAAUUUUGCACAAAUUUACGACCGAGUGAAUAAAGUUGAGUUUAUGAUGCAUUUUCGAUAAAAUAUCUUUUUAGCUAACUGGGCGGCAAAAGUGACAUUAAAUAUUCCAGAAAAGAUCUUUGAUGCACUCCCCAAGCGUAUAGCAGAACUUCCCCCGGCAAUACCAAAAAAUAAGUUAAUUUGUCUUUUCCCUUGGUUUUUUCUCCAAUAAUAAUUUAUCCCUUUUUGUUUCUGCAUUACGUGUGGUGGAGGUACAUCUAUCAUAUUUUUGUCAACUUUUUUGUUUUUCCAUUACGUGAGGUGGACAGCGGCCAAACUAUGGGACUCCCUCACUUAAAAUAGAAAAUUUUUUAUUUAAAUUUUUAAAAUUUUUAAAAUUUUAAAUUAAAAAAAUAAAAUUGUACUUUGAUGUUUUUUAAAGUUGAUAAAAAUUUAAUUUAAUUUUUUAAAAAAUUAUAAAGAUAUAGGCUAUUAAAAUAGUAAAAUUAUAUUUUUAUUGUCAUAAAAAUUACAAUUUAAUUUCGACCUUCUAAAUUUUUUUGUGACAUUCGGGACUAAACUGAAUAAAUUAAAAGUUGUUAAGAAAUUAUGCCAUAGACUAAAAAUACAAGGUCUCUAACAUGAAAGUAUAUGAAAUCAGAUUUUGAUUCAAUACUAAAGAUUGAAAAGUAUGAGCAUUUCUAAUAUAGGGAAAAAUGAAGAAAAUACAAAAUAUAUUUGAUUAUAUGUUUAUCAUGUGGUUGAGUGAAAACUAAAGCUAUUUUAUAAUUGAAUUAUCGAACGUAGCUAAAAACAAUGUCAGGCCGUCCUAAGAUAAAGGAAAUGCGAGAAUCGAAGAAAGUAAUUAAUACGAACUAAUACGAUUUGUACAUUCAUGAUUCAAAUUCAAUAUUUGCAAACUAAAUUGUCUCAUGGUUUGGUUUGUAUUUCAAUACUAUUGAACAUAUGUUUGAUCUUUAGAUUUGUAAUUUGUAAAUGUUUAAUUUAAAUAUGAUAUAAAAGUAUGAAAAGUAAAAAAAAACGUGAUGAUAAUAAUAUUAAUUAUAAUUUAAAAGAAGAGAUAUUUUAUUAUUUUUAUUUCACUUUAAAAUAGAUCUGAUUUUACGAAAAUUUGAAACAAUAGAGAACUAACCUAGUAAAAAGUAUACUUUAUACUUUAUAAUUAAUAUUGUUUGAUAGAAAGCUGUUCUAAAAGUAUCACAAAAAUUAUCGAAUUAUUUAUUUUAUAUAAAGAAAAACUUAUAACCACUAAAUACAUAUUAAUAAAGACCUAAUAUUUAAUCAAUAUGAUAAAAAUAUCGAAUCAAUUUAAAAUUGUACAUGCAUAAGAACCACAUUAUUUAUAUCGAUAUAUUCAUUUUAUAAUUAUAUAAAAGUUUGAGUAAAACUAUUAGCUUUACAGGUGGAUCUCAGAGGCGAAGUAAGAAAAUUUUUAAGUGAAAUUAAAUUAUAUAUUUUUAAGAUAAUAAAAAUAUAAUUUUACUAUUUUUAAUAGUCCAUACUUUUAUAAAUUUUAAAAAGUUAAAUUAAAAUUUUAUCCUUUAUCAAAUAUUAUUAAUUUAAAAUUUUAUAAAAUAUCUGGCGGAGUACUGUGAUUUUAGUUGCCACUUGUGCAAAGGGAUAAGCCACUGACAUGACUGCAUCUGCAUCCAUGAAAGAAGCCAAAUUGAAUUGUAACUUACUGCUCCUUUACGCUAAGAAUUUUUUCAGAGACGUGGAAGUACAAAAACAGGCGGUGCUUCUUCAUUCUUAUAUAAAUGCUGUUCUUCUUGAUUAUUCUUUCCAUACAUUGUUCUUAAAACAAUGGCUGGGCAGUUUAUAGUUGGAGUUGCAAAUGUUAUAGCCUUGCUUUUGGGGUUUGUUUUCUUAGUGAGAUUUUGGGGGCUGAGCAAGCUGAAAAGAGCAGCUUCAAUGGGGUUCCCAAAGGAAAACUGUGUAAACAAAAAUGGAAAUGGUGAGGGUGAGAGUGAGAGUGAGGGUGUUGGGACUGCAGAAAUUAUCAUAGUCGGCGCUGGUGUUGCCGGUGCUGCUCUUGCCUAUUCUCUUGGAAAGGUCCCAAUUUUUUAUCACCUUUAUUUUAAUUUUAUAGAAUUAAGUUUCGACUUGGGAUAAUAAUAGUAUUGAACUCUAAAAGGAUCUUGGAGCCACAUACAUGACUCUCCCAACUUUUCCAAUAUUUUUGUAGUGAAAGAGAUUGUUUUAAUUUUUUAUUUAAAUUUUAUAUUUAGUGAUUUUAUUUCCUUAAAGGAACAUUGUGCACAGUUUUAAGUAGGUCUGCUCAUGACCUGGUCCAGCUCAAAAGCCCGCUCGAAAAAUAGAAGAUUUAGGUAAAAAUAUAGGCUCAAAAAAUGAGCUUGGGAGAAAAAUGCCCGUUUAGAAAACGGGCUAAGCCUCAAGUAAGGUUUUUCAGCCCGGCCCAAAUAUGUAGUUUUUUUUUUUGCAAUUUUUUUCUAUUUUCUUGUUGUUGUUUUUCACUAUUUUGCUACUAUUUCACUAUUAUGUCGUUAUUAUUUUGUUGUUAUUGUAUAACUAUUGUUUUAUUGUUAAUUUUGUUAUUAUUUUAGAGGUAUUUGCUUGUUAAGUUGCACUUAUCUUAGUGUUAUUUAAGUAUACAUUUUUUAAAAAAUUUAUUUUUAAUUUGUUGGAAAACAAUUAUUUUAAUAUUUUUAAUAUUUUUUUAAAAAAAAAUUAAUAUAAGCGGAGCCCGGGUUUUAACAUUUUAUUCGGGCUAGGCUUGAGCAAAAUUUAAGGACCAUUUUUUGGGCUCGGGCCAAGCAAACGAGUCUAAAAUUUUGGUUUUGCCCGGCCAAACCCAUAAACACCUCUAGUUUUAAGUAAUCAUAUGUUAUUUCUUCUUAAUUGUUCUUUUUAAAUAUGUAUUUAUGCCAUCUUUUUUUAACUUACAUAUAUGUCUUUUUUGUAGUAUAACUAACAUACAUAAUAUACGUUACAAGAAAUAAAUAUAAAAGAUACUUUAAUUAUGACAAAUAAAAAAAUUGAAAUUCCUUCUUAAUUAUAUUUAAUGUAGAAAUACAUAUAAAUAUCUAAGAUUUUAAAAAAUAUUGUAGAGGUGGGGAAUGUCGCAUUUAGCUUCAAUUAACAUCAGUUUCUCUUCAAGUUACCAUAAGAUCCUUGAAAAAUGGAGUUAACUAUGAUGUUAUACCUAAUAAUACUUCUAUAAUUAUAUAUUGUAGGAUGGACGUCGAGUGCGAGUGAUAGAAAGGGACUUAAAUGCACCUAAUAGAAUUGCUGGUGAAGCUCUAAUGCCUGGAGGCUACCUCAAGUUAAUUGAAUUAGGCCUUGAAGGUAAAUAAGAAUAGUGGAUGCAAUAUAAUAUUUCAAUGUCAUUUCUUUAAAUAUAUUACUUUGAAUGUUGGCACUACAGAUUGCUUAGAUGAGAUUGAUGCUCAACGAUUUUUGGGUUAUACUCUAAACAAGGAUGGAAAGGAGGCUCUCAUAUCUUUUCCAUUGGAAAAGAUUCAUUCUCAUGUUGUAGGAAGAACUUUCCAUAACGGUCGUUUCGUUCAAACAUUACGAAAGAAAGUAGCAUCUCUUCACAAGUACUUUCUCUCCUUCCUCCCAAUCAUUCUUUAAUUUCAAUUUAAUAUAUUAGAACAUUUAUCUUAAUGGAUUAAAUGACUUGUAGUUGUUUUGAUCCAUUACUUUUGUUUAUGAGCUCGUCCAGUUGAUUUUGGUUUGAUCAAUUUAGAUAAAAUCACUCAAGUUUUAAAACUAACACAUCAUUUUGGUUUUUAUCAUUUUAGGCUAAGGAUUAUUUUGGGUUCAGAUCAUUUCCAGUUUAUAUUUGAGUCAUUUUGCUCCGGGUUUCAAAUUUUUGAGUGUGGUCAUUACAAUUUCAUAUCGUUUUGGUUCUAGUCACUUCGAGUUUGGAUCCUUCCAAGUUAAUUUUUGAAUCAUUUUGGGUCUGAGUUGUUUUAAGUUCAAGUUAGUUUGGGUUAGAGUAAAAUUUUGUUCAAGUUGGAGGGACUCAAAUUGUGGACCCUUUAUAGUCAAAUCAAAUUGGAUCAAAUUUAAGUUCCAAUUGGUCGAGUCAAAUUUUCAAAUUCAAGUCAAAAUUGACAUGUCUGGUUCUGUUACUAUUACUUUGUUUCAACUUGUUUUAAUCAGAAAUUAUGCCUCUCUUUACAAGGUCCAAAUUCAUGUUUUUAUGAUAUGAUAACGCAGUGUAAGUUUAGAACAAGGGACAGUAAUAUCUCUACUUGAAGAAAAUGGUAUUGUCAAAGGAGUGCACUAUAAAGAUAAGAGUGGUCAAUUGCUAACAGCUUACGCUCCUCUCACCAUUGUCUGUGAUGGUUGUUUCUCGAAUUUGAGACACUCUCUCUGCCAUUCUAAGGUGAAAAAAAUGUUUACGUAUUCUUGUUAAAUUAGUUUAAUUCUUAUUUUAGUCACUCUAUAACGUUAAAAAUUUGAGAUUUAGUCCUAUUUUAUUGUGCCAUAAUUUGAUUCCAUUAUUUUUGUGAAGAUAUUAGUAUGUCAAAAUAGAUCAGUUGCUUUUAUUAAAGAAUUGACUUAUUUUUUGGUCAUAUAGUCAAGGUCACAUUGAAAUCAAGUCAAUUAGGUUGAACCAAUAAUGAAAUUUCAUGUUACUCGAAUGUUAGUUAGUUUUAACAAAAAUCUAUGUCAUUAUUUCAAUGGUAACAAUUAACGGUGUCAUCAAUUUGGAUCUACAAUAAAGAUAGAGAGACUAAAUUUUGCCAAAUUGAAAUAGAGGAAUAAAAUUCCAAUUUCAGCUUGGUAGAAGGACUAAAACCAUAAUUAGACUUAAAUUAUAUGCUUUGAGAAAAUAUGCAUAUAAAGGUCUCGAUUAUUUGUGCAGGUGGAUAUACCUUCUUAUUUUGUUGGUUUUAUCUUGACGAACUGUAAACUUCCAAAAGAAAAAUAUGGAGUUUUUAUAUUAGCAGAUCCUUCACCUAUCCUAUUUUAUCCCAUUAGUAGCACAGAAAUUCGUUGCUUGGUGGAUGUUCCUAGUCAAAAUCUACCCUCUGUUUCCAAUGGUGAAAUGGCUCAUUACUUGAAAACUUUGGUGGCUCCCAAGGUAUAUUUAUAUCUUUCUUUAAUUGACUCAUUAAUGGAAUUUGGUUGAACUUAUGGACUAACUGUAUGAUCUAUGAUACAUUUCAGGUUCUUCCUGAAUUAUACAAUUCCUUUAUAUCUGCAAUAGAGAAGAAGGACAACAUAAGAAUAAUGCCGAACAAAAUCAUGGCUGGUGCUCCACACCUCACUCCUGGUGCUUUUUUGAUCGGCGAUGCAUUCAACAUGCGGCAUGCUAUAACUGGAGGGGGAAUGACUGUUGCUUUAUCUGAUGUUGUGAUACUUAGGGAUCUUCUAAGACCCUUGCAUGAUCUAUCUGAUGCAUCCGCCAUUUGCAAAUAUCUCGAAUCCUUUUAUACUCUGAGGAAGGUAUUGUAGUUAAUGUCCUAUAUGAAUUUUUUAAAGUGAAAAAAAAGGAACAAAAAAUGGCAUAAAUUUUCACUUUUAACUGCAUGCAGCCAAUGUCAUCUACGAUAAAUACACUAGCCAAUGUUUUACAUAAGGUAUUUAGUGCCCCGUCCGAUCCUGCAAUGGAGAAUCUGCAACAAACAUUGUUGGGGUAUUUGAAACUUGGAGGGGUUUUUUCAUCUGGAGUAUCAGCUCUGCUCUCUGGUUUAUGCCCUCGUCCAUUAAGCUUAGCAUUUCAUUUCAUUGUCAUGGCAAUAUAUGGUGUUGGCCAGUUGUUACUUCCAUUUCCUUCUCCCAAACGCUUGUUGGAUGGAGCUAAACUCCUUUGGGUCAGUAUCUCUACCAAUCAUUUCUCAUAUAUCAUGAUCACUAACACGAUAAAAAUAUAUAAUAAUUUAAAAAUGACGUUCUUUUUUUUGUUGUUGUUGUUUUUUCAGGUUGCAUCAAGUGUUCUUCUCCCCAUUAUACACUCUGAAGGAGUCAGACAAAUGUUUUUCCCUCUAACUGUGCCAGCAUAUUAUAGAACUCCCCCUAAGGGAAAAAAAAUCUAAGAGGAAACUCCAUGCAUCUGUAGUGAACAAUUCUAUAUAUAUUCGCAAUAGAUUUUCAUAUUUGUUUCUAGUUAGCAUUCUCAGGUAGGCUUGAUGGUGGUUUGUACUCAUAUUGUUUUUACGUGUCUUGUUUAAAAUUCUAAAUAAAGGUUUAGUAAUUCUUGUGUUGGUGUUGUUUUUAUGUAGCUUGUUUGAAAUAUUGAACUAACGAGUUAGCAUUUUUAAGUAGGUUCAAUAAGCAUCCUAUUCGUACUGUUUUUGUUAAUAUAAAUUAUCCAUGAGUUCAUUAAUAUUAUUAAGUGUAUAGAGAUCUCAUGAGUUUGGAAAGCUCUUUGAGAGAGAUUUGGCACAACUUAAGCGUAUAUCCUAAAGCAUUUCUUGCGAUGGAGAGGAUAUUUCUAGAUAGAGCUUUGAUAUAGGUGACUUGAGUGGAAACAUCUAUCCAAAUUUUGCACAAAUUUACAACCAAGUGAAUAAAAUUGAGUUUAUGAUACAUUUUCGAUUAAAUAUCUUUUUAGCUAACUGGACGGCAAAAGUGACAUUAAGGGUGAGUUUGGAUGGGCGGUGCGUUUACCUGCGGUUAGUGUAAAAAUAGCAAUAGCGGUGAGAUUAGAUACUGUAGUGAUACUGUAGCGUAAGACAAAAAGUAAGUUAAACACACCGCACCACACCCAAUCGCCCAUCCAAACCCACCCUAAAUAUUCCGGAAAAGAUCUUUGAUGCACUCCCCAAGCGUAUAGCAGAACUCCCCCGGCACUUUUUAUCAUACCAAAAGUUAAAUUAAUUUGUCUUUUCCCUCUCUUUUUUUUCCAAUAAUAAUUUAUCCUUUUUGUUUUUGCAUUACGUGUGGUGGAGGUACAUCUAUCAUAUUUUUGUCAAGUUUUUAUUUUCUUCCCUUUCGAUUCGCUAUUUCUCUGCUAACCUCUCUUCAAUUUCCCUCUUUCUCAAUUUGGUAAAGGACGACACGGAUGAAUUAAGUUAAAUGUCCUCUUAAGAAACGGCGCCGUUAAAGGUAAUUUUAAUUCAGAGUUGCGGCGUUUUGCGAAAAAACGCUGCUAUUGCAUCCACAUUUGCGGUGUUUUAAUAAUAAAGAACGCCACUAAAAUUUUUAGUACAGAAAGAAACGGUGCCGUUUUAUUAAAAUAUAAUGCAUGUUCUGGUGUUUUUCCAAAAAAUGCCACUAAAAGAUUCCAUCCUUCCAUUGAAACGGUGCCGUUUUGCCAACUUUUAAGUAUCAUUUACGGCAUUUUUCGGAAAAACACUAUAACUCAAAUUUAAUCCCUAAACUGAAACGACGCCGUAUCGAAAAAUGCAAUAAAUGUUUGUGGCAUUUUUUACCAAAACGCCGAUAAUGUCUACCUUUUGCGGUGUUUUUGAUAUAAACGCCACUAAUAAAUUUAAAUUCUCCUAUCGAAACGGUGCCGUUUUGAGAAAUUUGACUAUAUAGUAACGGCAUUUUUUUUGUUAAAAACACCGCUAAAUCUCAAAUAUUUUAUUUAUUUAUUUAUUUAUUGUAUCUUUCAUUUAAAUUUUACGUAAAUAAUUAUUAAAAUUUUAAGUAAUAUUUUAAAAGUAUUUGAUACAUGUAUAAAUUUUAGUUUUUUUAUUUCAUUUUUAUUUUUUUAUUUUAUUUUUUCUUAUAUUUUGGUCCUAUACAAAUUAAAUAAUUAAUUACCUAUAUAUAUAUAUCCAUAUCAAAAAUAUCAAUGGUUAGGGUUAAAUGUUUUUAAAUAUACAAGUAUUAAUUAAUUGUAUCAUUUAACAAGUCUCAAAUAAACCUUAAACCCUAAAUUAACCAAUCAAUCUACAUGCAUAAAGUGAUCGUCUAUCUAUUAUAUAUCUCUUAAAUAAUAUAAAUUAUACUCAUAAUUUCAAUAUAUUAAAUUUAUUAUUAUCUAUUUUACAAAUAUAUAAGAACAUAUUUAAUAUAUAAAUUAAUAAAACUAAUUAAUCUAAACUUAAACCCUAACUUGACCCUUGAAACCCCAAACCCUAAAUCCCUAACCCCUAACCCCUAAAUCCCCCUAACACCUAAAGCAUAACCCCUAACACUUGAACCUUAAAUCCCAAACCCUAAAUCCAUACCCCCUACUCCUUAAAAUACCAUCCAAAAAAAUCCUUAAAUCUUUAACAAUCAUAAAAUAUAGUUAAAAUCGAUUAAACAAUAAUUAAUAGUUAAAAAUUUUGUAUAAAUUGGUGUUUUAUAUUACUUUCUUUGAUUUAUUUAGUCGAACUAUCAAAAUUUAUUAUUCUUAUAAAAGUUUAUUCUAUUUUUUAUUCUUUACAACACAACAAUUUAAGUUUUAUGAUAUUUUAUUUUACUCAUAGUUUAAUAUAUUUUUUUCUAGUAAAGUAGUUUAAAUAAACUGUGAUUAAAAAAUAAUAAUAAAUAGUUAGGAGUUAGGACUUCUCUUUAAUUAUAAAAAUAUUUUGUAUUAAACAAUAUUAUUUGUUAUCAUUUAAAUGUAAAUUUGUCCACUAUAUAACAUGGUCUUUAGCGUCGUUUUUUUCUAAGCGCCGCUAAAGAACAUGGUCUUUAGCGGCGUUUUUGUUUGUAAAUGCUGCAAACGUUUGCGACGUUUUCGUUAGCGGCCUUUUUUGCGGCGCUUGUGGAAGCGCCGCAAAUACCUUUAGUGGCGUUAUAAAGCGCCGCUAAAGGCCUAAAAAAACGCCGCUAAAGACCCGUUUUGGUGUAGUGUUAUAAUAAAAAAAAUAUAAUUCAAACAUUACUUGAGAAUAUAUCAAAGAAUGAGAUAAUUGAAAUGGGUAUUAGAUUUUAUUAUUAUUAGCGGUGCUAUUUCAAAAACGCCGCUAAAGGCCCGAGCAUUAGCGGCGCAAUUUCAAAAAAGCCGCUAAAGGCCCGAGCAUUAGCGGCGCUAUCUCAAAAACGCUGCUAAAGGACCGAGCAUUAGUGGCACUACUCCAAAAACGCCGCUAAAGGCCCCAAAAACUCAGGCGUCGUUGGUCUUAGGUUUUUUGCGGCGCUUUUCGGAAAACGCGCUAAUUCUUAUUUUUGGCGGCGUUUUUCGAAAAGCGCCGCUAAUGCUCGAUCUUUAGCUGUGUUUUUAUAAAAGCGCCGCUAAUGCUUGAUUUUUAGUAGCGUUUUUUAUCCAAACGCCACUAAAAAUGCCACUAAAAGCCUAUUUUGGUGAAGUGGUAGUAUUGGUUCACAUCGUAGGGCGUACCAAGAGCACUAAAAAUGAUAAUGCAUAGGGUCUCAUGAGCUUGGAGAGUUGUUUGGGAGAGAUUUAGAACAACUUUAGCAUGUAUCCUAAAGCAUUUCUUGUGGUGGAGAGGGCCUUUCUAGAUGACGAGGAACUUUGGUAUGGGAGACUUGAGUGGAAACAGUCAUCCAAGUUUUGCACAGGCUUACAGCCGAGUGAAUAAAGUUGAGUCCGUAACACAUUACGAGCUUAAUAUAUUCCUCGAUAAAAAGUCUUUUUAGUUAACUGGAUGGAAAAAGUAGCAUUAAAUAUUCUUAAAAUGAUCUUUACUUUUGAUGAACCACCCCCAGAGAUCAUGGUCACCCUUAAAACUGAUGUGAAAGAAUUUGCCUUCCCAGAUUUAGGGAAAAUUCUCCCAUGCGCUCCAAGCAUGCACACAUAUAUGUAAUUUUUACCGACUUUUCUAAUGCUAUUUUUGUUAGAAAUAUUAGUAUUGGUAUAAGUUAGAAAUGUCGGUAAAAACUAAAAAAAUUUGAUAGACUCCCCAAGCGUAUAGCAGGAUUCCCGACGUUUAAUUGUUGCUUAUUAAGCUCUAGGGCCCUCUAUCAUACCAAAAAUUAAAUUAUUUUGUUUUUUCCUUUUGUUUCUUUUAAUGCCUUCUUCUUUUGUUUUUUUUUUCCUUUUUGUUUCUUUUACUGCCUUAUUACAACUUCAUGAAUAAAACGUGGGUAUUUUUCCACCCAAAUAACAUCACUACAAAUACACCUGCAUGUCUAGUCAUUUUUGUGAGCAGCGUUGCUUUGGGGACUUAGCGAUCGCAGGACCCAUGUUUUGGCUACUCUUGUUUACUGUCUUCCAAAUUAGAGAUGAUUUGUAGAGCAUCUCCCUCAACAAUAAUAUCCCAGCACGUGCUUAUUCACUCCCCCACCAUUCCUCCCUUCUCUUCUAUAAAUCAUGUUCUUCUUGAUUAUUCGUUCCACGCAUUGUUAUUAAAUCAAUGGCUGAGCAGUACAUAGUUGGAGUUGGAGCUGUUAUAGCCUCUCUUUUGGGGUUCCUUUUCUUGUACUGCAAUUCCCUCAUAAGAUUUAGGGGACUGAGUAAGCUAAAAAGAGCAGCUUCAAUGGAGUUCCCAAAGGGGAACAGUGUAAACAAAACUGGAAAUAGUGAGGGUGUUGGCACUACGGAUAUUAUCAUAGUCGGCGCCGGUGUUGCCGGUGCUGCUCUUGCCUAUUCUCUUGGAAAGGUCCCAUUUUUUCUCCUUGUUCUUUAUUUUGUUCUACCAUAGUUUUAAUCAUCUUAUUUUCCUCUUCCUGCAUAUAACAAUUACUAUAUUUUUUUUUUUUUGUAAAAAUACCAUAGUGGCCUCUUAUCAGGAGUCAAACUACAUAUAUCUUCAUUUACUCAAAUAUUUCAUAAAUUAGUCUAUUUAUAUUAGAUCAAGUAGCAAACGGGUCAUUUCUAUUAAAAAAUUAAUCCAUUUUUACGGUUAAAAUUAAUGUGGCUGACAAAAUAACCAAAUAGUUAUACAUAACAUGCCAUAUGUGCCUCACGCUAACAUAUAGGGACCAAACUUUAACAGUAGGAAUUGAUGGAUUUUUUAAUAGAGGACCAAUUUGAUCUUUGAUCUAUUGUCUAGAGACUAAUUUGUUCAUUUUUUAGUAAAGGAGACAAAUGUAAUCCGACUUUUAGUACAAGGCUUAAUGAUGCUUUUACUAAUUUCUUUUAGGAACAAUUACUAAUUAAGUUUUCAUUUUAUUAUUAUUAUUUAUAGACAUUUUAUUAUUAUUGGUUGAAGUAUUAUAUGAGAAGAUAAUAAGUUAAUUUAAUUUCACGUGGAUCUGUGUUUAUUUUUUAUAAUAAAUUCAAAUUUUAAUUUGAUGGUAAAAUGAAAUAUUCAAUACUUUCUUAAACUGGAUCGGUUUUGAUUGAGAAUUGAUUAGGGGAUUGAUCCAAAAGAAAUAAAAAAAUUACUUGAUUCAUGAAUCAGUAUAAUCUGAUUAAAUCGGUGAUUGAAUUUGUUGAUCCAAAUUUUAUAAUUUUUUUAUUUUUGUUUUUAAAUUUUUUUUAAUAAUCUAUUUAACUUAAAUAAGAUAAACAAAUGGAUCGAAAAUUGAUAUUUAACUAAUUUGACCGUGAAUUUAGAAAACAUCAAAUAUAAUAUUAGCAACUAAGAAUAUAUAUAUAUAUGAAUUUUUUUUAUAAUUGGUAAGGCAUAAUAUGAAGUACUAAUAGAUAUAAAAUAUAUUUUGACAGUCGGAUUUAAUUUUAUUUAAUAUAAAUAGAUAUAAGUAUUUGAAUUAUUAUAAUAUAUAUUAACUGUUAGAAAAAAUUUUAUAAAUCUCGAUUGAGUUUUAGUUCAAUUGACAUGAGUAUUGUUGUUAAUGCGCUGAAACGUAUUAUACUCUUAUACAUAAGUUGAGAAUGAGCUGUAGGUAGUUCUAAGUAUUAUUUCAACAAAUAGCAUAUAUAAUCAGAACUUGUAAUAAGAUUGUUAAAACAAAAUCUAUAAGUUAAACAAAUUUUGUAGGUCCUUUAUUUAUUAAUUUUGAUUUUUUAAAAGGUUAAUUUUUAAUUACACCCUAAAAUAUAUCUAAAUCUUUUUUUUUGGUUAAAACUAAUACUUAGACUAUAAUUCAUUUAAUGCAACAUCAAUAAAUAAUUCUGAUUUUAUAAUAUUAUUUAUAGUAAUAUUAAUUAAAAAAUUAUAAUAACAUUUAAAAAAAAUAUUUCCCAACCCCACCACCGUUCUCCCCUCCUCCUCCCUUACCGUUCCUCCCUUUCACCCCUCACCCUCUCCCCACCGACCACCACCGCCGAGAGAAAGGGGCUUAAAUAUGGGCGUGUAUCAGUUUUAUAUAGUAAACCUCAAUCGUAGACCACCUUUGUGCUGGAUAUGUUGGUUAAUACUUGUUUUUCAUUAACAUGAGAGAAGCUUGAGGAAAGAAAAGUAAGAAUAUAGCAGUGGUUACUUCAUUCUACAGUUCCUAGACCGUUUGUGUAGUUGGGAAUUGUCCCAAGUCAUUUUUGUCCCAGAAUUCACCAUUUGACCAUUGAGUUUCAUUCUACAAAUCCAAACUAGGUUACAAAGUUGCAAUUUCUCAUAAGCUAAGCCAAACUUCUACUGUACUUGUAGUUUGUUUGCCAUUUUUUUUCCCUUCAAGAGCCAUUAAUACUUUGAUGGUAACUUGAUCUCCUUGGGUACAGAAGUGUUUUAGUUGAGGGAAAAAGGACAAUCAAAACCUGUAGUUUUUCUGCUAAUGUAAGAUAUGGGGGGAGGGGAGAGGGAGAGAGAGGGAGCCAAGAGGGGUGGCCGGGUGGGGGUGAGGGAGGAAAAUAUUUUUAUUUCUUUAGUGUUAACAUGCAUGUCAUAUGCACAUGAUGAAAUAAGAAACCUAUGUAUUGCAAUUGCAUAUGAUAGAACUCGAAUCUAGGUGCUUAAAAAUCCAGAGCCUCUCCCUUAAGCAACAAUACCAAAACUUAACAUGGUAUCAUACGUGACAAUUCUUCACAAUUUUCAUGUUACAGGACGGACGUCGAGUGCGAAUGAUAGAGAGGGACUUAAAUAUGCCUAAUAGAAUUGUCGGUGAACUUCUAUAUCCAGGAGGCUACAUAAAGUUAAUUGAAUUAGGCCUUGAGGGUAAACAACAAAUAAAUUGUGGAUUUAAAUAGUAGAUGCAAUAUAAUGUUACAAUGUUAGUUAUUUAUACAGUAACUUUUUUUUACUUUGAAUGUUGGUACUAUAGAUUGUGUAGAUGAGAUUGAUGCUCAACAAUUUUUGGGUUAUACUCUAUACAAGGAUGGAAAGGAGACUCUCGUAUCUUAUCCAUUGGAAAAGUUUCAGUCUCAUAUUUCAGGAAGAACCUCCCAUAAUGGUCGUUUCGUUCAAAGGCUGCGAAAAAAAGCUUCAUCACUUCACAAGUAUUUUCUCCCCUUCCUCUUAAUCAUUUUUCAAAUUCAACAUAAGAUGUCUAACAUUUGUCUUAACAAAUUAAAUUAGACUUGGCAAUUGAGCUAGUUGAAUAGAUUUUGGGUCAUGUCAAUCUAGAUCGAGCCAUUCAAGUUGCAAAAUUCUUUGAGUAAAUAUGGUAUUAGUGUGUUUAGAUUUAAGUCACUUUAAGUUUGGAUUCGAGUCAUUUUGAGUUCAGGUUAGAAUGGUUUGAAGCCUGAGUUUUUAGGGUCGAGCUAUGAUAGGUUCAUGUCAUUUUAGGUUAUAAUCACUUCAAUUUUUGGUCUUUCAAGUUGUUUGGAUCAUUUCAAGUUGGAGCGAAAAAUUUAUGUUAUGGUGAAAUAAGGUUCGAGUUAGAGGGGUUCAUGUUGUUGAUUCUUUAUAGUAAGUUUAGUUUUGAAUUGAUUAAGUUAGGUUUUAGGUUAAGGUUAAAAUUUAAAAGUUGACUUCUAUAUGUAUUAUUUUGCUAACUUGUUACAACAAUUUAUUAGAAAUAGUACAUUUGAAAUUAUACUUUUCUUUACAAGAUCCAAUUUGAUGCAUUGAUAUUAUGAUAAUAUAGUGUAACUCUAGAACAAGGGACAGUAACAUCUCUGAUUGAAGAAAACGGUAUUGUCAAAGGAGUGCACUACAAAAAUAAGAGUGGUCAAGUGUUGACAGCUUACGCUCCUCUCACAAUUGUAUGCGAUGGUUGUUUCUCAAAUUUGAGACGCUCUCUUUGUUAUCCUAAGGUAAAAAUGCUUAAGAAUUAGUGUUAAAUUAUUCUAGUUAUAGUUUUCAUCUCUCUAAUUUUAUAUUUCAACAUUCUACUUUAAUUUGGCUUAAUUUGAUUCAUUUAUUUUUUUAUAAUGUUUUUAUAAUGUCCAAAAUGAUAACAUCAUUAGUUGCUUUUUGUUAGGCCACAUAAAAUUUCAAUCAACCAUAUUCAACCACAUAAUUUUUUUUCUCCAAAUUAAAGAAAAUGGAUUAAAUUCCAAUUUUAGGAUAAUAGAAGGACUAAAACUUUUAUUAGACUUGUUAAAUUCUAUGCUUAGAGAAAAUAUAUAAAGGUCUAUAUUUUUUUUUCUGCAGGUUGAUAUACCCUCUUAUCUUGUUGGUCUUACACUGACAAACUGUAACCUUCCAAAAAAAAAUUAUGGAGCUAUUAUAUUAGGACACCCUUCACCAAUCAUAUUGUAUCCAGUUAGCAGCACUGAAAUUCGUUGCAUGGUGGAUGUUCCUAGUGAAAAGGUACCUUCAGUUUCCAAUGGUGAAAUGGCAUGUUACUUGAAAACUCAGGUGGCUCCCAAGGUAUAUUUAGAUCUUUCUUUUAUUCAUUCAGUAGGGGAAUUUGGCUUAAUUUAUGGACUAACUGUAUGGCUUAUAAUAUAUUUCAGGUUCUUCCUGAAUUGUACAAUUCCUUUAUGUCUGCAAUAGAGAAGAAGGGUAACAUAAGAAUAAUGCCGGCUAAAAUCAUGGCUGCUGCUCCACACCUGACUCCUGGUGCGCUUCUGAUUGGAGAUGCACUCAACAUGCGGCACGCUAUAACCGGAGGGGGAAUGACUGUUGCUCUGUCUGAUGUCGUAAUACUUAGGGAUCUUCUAAGACCCUUGCAUGAUCUAUCCGAUGCAUUCACCAUUUCCAAAUAUCUCGAAUCCUUUUAUACUCUGAGGAAGGUAUUGUAGUUUCAUGUUUUAUAUGCAUUUUGAAAGUGAAUGGCAAUGAUGAAAACGGUAUAAUUUUGCCCUUUAACUACAUGCAGCCAAUGUCAUCUACAAUAAAUAUACUGGCUAAUGUCCUACAGAAGGUAUUCAGUGCCUCGUCCAAUCCUGCAAUGGAGAAUCUGCAGCACACCUUUUUGGGGUAUUUGAGACUUGGAGGGAUGUUUUCAUAUGGAGCAUCCGCUAUGCUCUCUGGUUUAUGCCCUUCUCCAUUAAGCUUAGCAUUUCAUUUCUUUUCCAUUGCAAUAUAUGGCGUUGGCCGAUUGUUACUUCCAUUUCCUUCUCCCAGGCGUUUGUGGGAUGGGGCUAAAUUCCUUUGGGUCAGUAUCUUUACUAAACAUUUAUAUAUUAACAUGAUAUAAAUAUAUAAGAUCUUAAAUAUGAUUAUGAUAUAGAUUCAUAUUAAUACAAAUAUUUUAUUGUUUUUCAGGUGGCAUCAAGUAUUCUUCUCCCCUACAUAUACUCUGAAGGAAUCAGACAAAUGUUUUUCCCUCUAACUGUGCCAGCAUAUUAUAGAACUCCCCCUAAAAAAGGUCCCAAAAAGAAACUUCAUGCAUUAAUUAGCAGUGUUUGUUGGAACAAUUCUAUGUUCUUAACAAAAUCUCGCAUCUGUUACUAGCAUUCUUAAGUAGGCUGGAUAAUCUUUUGUAUAUGUGAUGUUUAAAAUGGUAAAUAAAUGAGUUGGCUAAAUUGCUUUGGGUCGGUAUCUUUACCAAACAUUUGUAUAAUAACAUGAAUAUAUAAGAUCUUAAAUAUGAUUAUGAGAUAGAAUCAUAUUAAUAAAAAUAUUUUCAUGUUUUUCAGGUGGCAUCAAGUAUUCUUCUCCCCUACAUAGACUCCGAAGGAAUCAGACAAAUGUUCUUCCCCCUAACUGUGCCAGCAUAUUAUAGAACUCCCCCUGAAAAUAAGGACAAAAAAAAAACUUCAUGCAUUAAUUAGCAGUAUUUGUUGGAACAAUUCUAUGUUCAUCUGUUACUUGCAUUCUUAAGUAGGUCUUAAGACAAUUAGACGCAUGUCUAGAGACAAUGACGCAUCAAAGCUAAAAUAAGAAAAUAGGUGAGGUCAAUCUCGAGACAUGAAAGACUUUGUCCCAAGAUAUGCUAAAAUCGAAACAAAAUUCUCAAAAAUGAAAUGUGGCAUGUCUUAACUCUUAAAUAUUCAACCUUAUAUUUUGAUAAAUUAUGAUCCUAUACAUUAAGAAUAGAUGUGUAUGGAUAUGUUAAAUGAAAUAAAUGAAUUGAAAUGAUUACUAUACAUUGACUGAUGUGUUCAAAAUGUAAGUUAGCCUGAGUUGUUUUUAGGGGUGCUCAAAUUUCUAUUAAAACCGAAUUAACUGACCAAACCAAUCUAAUUUGGUUAAUCGGUUGAUUAACCGAUCUAAUUCGGUCAGAGAUCGAUUAAUGAUUUUUUGAAAGUUUAUUUUUUAAUUAAUUCGGUUCACAAUCAGGUAAUUAAUCGAAUUAACUAAAAUAAAUAAUAUAUAUUAGCAGCCCACCCAAGCCGCAGCCACUACCUAGCACAGGCCCCACUAACCCAACCUAAAUAAACAUUUAAAAUCCAAUCCAAUCCACAUAAUUAAUUUAAUUAUAAAAUUAAUUUAUAUUAAAUAAAUAAUUUAAUAAAAAUUGGAAUCCCUAAAAAAACUAAAAAUAACUCAGUAACUCACACCUAUUUCGAUAUUUUUAAUCUCCCAAAAUUCCUAAUCGCAAAUACCUUCCAUUUGCUAAAGAAGAGGUUCGUUUUUCUUUAAAGACAUUUUCUAUCCAUUUACUAAAGAUGUUUAUCUUCGAUAAACCAUCACCGGAGAUCAUGGCCGCCCUUAAAAUUGACGUGAAAGGAGUUACCUUCUCACAUUUAGGGAAAAUUCUCCCAUGCUCUCCAAGCAUGCACACAUGUAUGUUAGGCUACUCUUGUUUACUGUCUUCCAAACUAGAGAUGAUUUGGAGAGCAUCUUCCUCAACAAUAAUAGAAUGAUAUCCCAACACGUGCUUAUUCACUCACCCACCAUUCCUCCCUUUUCUUCUAUAAAUCAUGUUCUUCUUGAUUAUUCGUUCCACGCAUUGUUAUUAAAUCAAUGGCUGAGCAGUACAUAGUUGGAGUUGGAGCUGUUAUAGCCUCUCUUUUGGGGUUCCUUUUCUUGUACUGCAAUUCCCUUAAAAGAUUUAGGGGACUGAGAAAGCUAAAAAGAGCAGCUUCAAUGGAGUUUCCAAAGGGGAACAGUGUAAAAAAAACUGGAAAUAGUGAGGAUGUUGGCACUACGGAUAUUAUCAUAGUCGGCGCCGGUGUUGCCGGUGCUGCUCUUGCCUAUUCUCUUGGAAAGGUCCCAUUUUUUCUCCUUGUUCUUUAUUUUGUUCUACCAUGGUUUUAAUCAUCUUAUAUUCCUCUUCCAGCAUAUAACAAUUACUAGUUUUUUUUUGGGAAAAAAUAUCAUGGUUACCUCUUACUAGGAGUCAAAUUGCAUAUAAAUUAGUCUUUUUAUAUUAGAUCAAGUAGCAAAUUGAUCAUUUCUAUUAAAAAUUUAAUCCAUUUUUACGAUUAAAAUUGGUGUGGUUGACAGAAUAAUCAAAUAGUUAUACAUAGCGCGUUGUACCUUAUGCUAACGUAUAGGGACCAAUUUUUAACUGUAGGAAUUUAUGGACUUUUUAACAGAGGGCUAAUUUGCUCUUUGAUCUAUUGUAUAGGGACUAAUUUGUUCAUUUUUUAGUAGAGGAGACAAAUACAAUCCGAUUCUUAGUACAAGGCCCUCCAUGAUGCUUUUACCAAUUUUUUUGAGGAACAAUUACUAAUUAAGUUUGCAUUUUAUUAUUAUUAUUUAUACACAUUUUAUUAUUAUUGGUUGAAGUAUUAUAAGAUAAUAUUACGAUAAGUUAAUUUAAUUUCACAUGGAUCUAUGUUUAUUUUUUAUAAUAAAUUCAAAUUUUAAUUUGAUGGCAGAAUGAAAUAUUCAAUAUUUUCUUAAACUGUACCGGUUCUGAUUGAGAAUUGAUUAGGGUAUUGGUCCAAAAGAAAUAAAAAAUCACUUGAUUCAUGAAUCAGUAUAAACUGAUUAUAUCAAUGAUUGAAUUUGUUGAUCCAGAUUUUAUAAUUUUUGUUAUUUUUAUUUUUUAAUAAUUUAUUUAACUUAAAUAAGAUAAACAAAUGGAUCGAAAAUUGAUGAUUUGACUAGUUUCACAGUCAAUUUAGAAAACAUCAAAUAUAGUAUUAGUAACUAAGAAUAUAUAUAUCAAUUUUGUAAAAAUAAAACGUCGGUAAUGACAAUAUAUUGUAAAGAAAAAGAGAAAUAAAAAUAAAAAACACACAGAUUUUUACGUGGAAACCCUUUCGGGGAAAAAACCACAGGCAGAGGAGAAGAAAAUUCUCUAUGUCAAAUUCGAUUGAUUACAAGAGAAGUUUCGACUACAUCUAUUUAUAGGUUAAUUCUAAUCAAAGUUAAAUAUAUUAUGUUAACAAAUGCUAAAUAUACUAGACUCAUAAAUACUAAAUCUUCUAGAAAGAAGAUAUAUUUUGUUUAACUUGACUUGCAAGCAAUCUCUUAGAAUUUGGGUCAUACAACUCUAACAAUUUUUUUAUAAUUGGUAAGGCACAAUAUGAAGUACUAAUAAAAAAUAGCAUAUAUAAUCAGAACUUGUAAUGAGAUUAUUAAAAAAAUCUAUAAAUAUGUUAAAUAAAUUUUGUAGGUCCUUUAUUUAUUAAUUUUUAUUUUUUAAAAGAUUUAAUUGAUAAAUUACACCCUAAAAUAUAUCUAAAUCUUUUUUUUUGGUUAAAACUAAUACUUAAACUAUAAUUCAUUUAAUGCAACAUCAAUAAAUAAUUCUGGUUUAUAAUAUUAUUAAUAUUAACAUUAAUUAAAAAUUAUAAUAACAUUUCAAAAAUUCCCUUUUAAAUCAUUUAAAAAUUUUCAAAAUAUGAUUACCCUCAAUCAAACAUUCAUUGAAAAAAUUUAGUUUCAAACUUUUUGCAAUACAUAAGCAAGAAAUAAAUAUCAUUUAAUUUCUAUAAGAAAAUGUGCCAAUUAAACAUUAACGAAAUUCAAUAAGAUGCAGUAUUCAAGCAAAGUCAUGCAUCAAAACAGUGUGACAACAAGAAUUAAUGCAUGGUCACAUUAUCAACAUUUGCAUAUUAAUGAUAUAAGUAAUAAAGCUUAUACAAAAAAAACUUUGUUGAAGAUUAGAUCAAAGAUCCAAGACAAUUGCCUUUCUUGUAAAACCACUAGCGUUUCUUCUGAUCAGUGCUCAAAUAUGGGGAAGGAACCACUCUAGUUGUAGUGGUUGUUGUUGCAACAUAGAAGUUGGGAUGAUUUGCAGUGGUGAUUCACAUCGUUUAAAAAUGGUGUAUAAAAGUCUAAUGCAUUUUGGCACAACUUUGGCAUAUAUCCUAAAGCCCCUUUUCUCUUGUGAUGGAGAGGGCUUUUAUAGAUGAGGGGGUGCUUUUAUAUGGGUGACCUGGGCAGAAGCGCCCAUCCAAAUUCUGCACGAACUUAGAAUCGAGUAAACAAAGUUGAGUCCGUGACACAUUACGAGUGUUAGAAUUGUGUGACCCAAAUUCUAAGAGAUUGCUUGCAAGUCAAGUUCAACAAAAAUAUAUUUUCUUUCUAGAAGAUUUAGUAUUUAUUAGUAUAAUAUAUUUAUCAUUUAUUAGUAUAGUUUAUUUGACUUACUAAUUUAGCCUAUAAAUAGGCUCUUUUACAAUCUUAGAAAUUAGAGACACCCAUUAGAUUAGAACUCAUAACACAUUCAGAGAAUUUUGUGUUUACGUUUUGAGGGUUCUUUGUUUUUCGGGUUUUCGGGGUUUAGUUUUUAUCUCUAUCUUUUGUACUCUUCAUUCUUUUGCCAUUAUAGUAAAAUUAUCUUUGCCCGUCGUUUUUUAUCCUCUUUUGAGGGGUUUUUCCACGUUAAAUUUGUGUGUUCAUCUUCUCAAUUUCUUCUACUAUUUUUACUUGUUCGUUGCUUAAUCGGGACGAUCCUAACAAGUGGUAUCAGAGCUAGUUUAACUUUCAUAGAUCAGCCCGUUCAGAGAUGUCAGCAACAAGGUUUGAAAUUGAGAAGUUCAAUGGUGAGACAAAUUUCAAUCUGUGGCAAGUUCGGAUGAUGGCAAUUCUAGUUCAAAAUGGCUUGAAAAAGGUUGUUACAGGGAAAAAGCCUGAGAAUCUUAAUCAAACAGAAUGGGAAGAGCUUGAUGAAAAGGCCUUAUCUGCAAUCCAGUUGUGCCUCGCGAAUACAGUAUUGCAGGAGGUAUUGAUGGAGAAGACCUCAUUCGCCUUGUGGAAAAGGUUAGAAACUCUUUAUGCGACUAAGUCUCUGGCUAACCGUUUAGUGUUGAAACAACGUCUAUUUACGUUUCGCAUGAACGAAAGUGAGCUUCUUAAAGAUCACAUCAGUCAAUUCAUUACUCUUUUAAAUGAUUUAAAGAACGUUGAGGUUCAUAUUGACGAUGAAGAUCAAGCUAUGCUAUUAUUGUGUUUUUUACCCUCUUCAUACAAGUCUUUCAGGGAGACCCUGAUUUAUGGCAGAGACAAACUCUCGUUCGAAGAUGUGAAGGGUUAUUUGUUGAGUAGAGACAAACUCGACAAUGAGUUUGGUUUGAAUAGCAAAGCAGAUAGGCAAGCUUCCGUUUUGGUAGCAUUAAAGAAACAAGACAAAAGGUGUCGCUAUUGUAAAAAGUUAGGUCACUUCAAAGCAGAUUGUUAUAAACUGCGAAAUAAAAGAGCUGCUGAGAGUAACGAGGAAGAUGUAGCUGGUGCUAAUUUGGUCGAUGAAGGCGAUGAUGAUUUCUUGUUAGUGUCAACGAGCGAUAAUUCCAAGCUUACGUCUGAGUGGAUCCUAGAUUCAGGAUGUUCUUUCCACAUAUGUCCCAAUAGAGAAUGGUUCUCCACAUACAGUUCAGUUGAAGGUGGAGUUGUGCACAUGGGAAACGAUUCAUCUAGUAAAAUAAUCGGUAUUGGUACUAUUAAAAUUAGGAUACACGAUGGGACGAUUAGGACACUCUCAGAUGUCAGGUAUGUACUUGAUUUACGAAAGAAUCUCAUCUCCUUGAGUAUUUUAGACUUGAAAGGAUGCAGAAUCAACAUCGAGUCGAGCGACAUUAAAGUAUCUCGUGGAGCUUUCGUUUUGUUAAAAGGUAAAAGAGCCGGCAGUCUUUAUAUUCUGGAAGGUUCUACAGUGACUAGUGAAAUCGGACGUCCCUCGUCCGUUACGGAGUCAAAGUCAACUCAUUUGAAGCGGAGGCAACUUGGUCAUAAGAGGGAAAAAUGUAUGACCGUUUCGUUGAAGAGAGGUUCUCUUUUGGAUGCAAGUUUUGAAAAGUUAGGGCACUGUAUUCGUGAAAAUCAGACCCGGGUUAGUUUUGAUUUGGCAGUGCACAAGUCGAAGGCUAGAAGUCUUCCAGCUUCUAAGCAUAGAUUCGACUCAGUUAAUUCCCUGCAUAGUUCAAGAUAGGCCCGUGGCGGGUUUUGGCAAAGAUGGCAUUGAAAAAAUUUGUGUCAAGGUGGAGAUUGUUAGAAUUGUGUGACCCAAAUUCUAAGAGAUUGCUUGCAAGUCAAGUUAAACAAAUAUAUAUUUUCUUUCUAGAAGAUUUAGUAUUUAUUAGUAUAAUAUAUUUAGCAUUUAUUAGUAUAGUUUAUUUGACUUACUAAUUUAGCCUAUAAAUAGGCUCUUUUACAAUCUUAGAAAUUAGAGACACCCAUUAGAUUAGAACUCAUAACACAUUCAGAGAAUUUUGUGUUUACGUUUUGAGGGUUCUUUGUUUUUCGGGUUUUCGGGGUUUAGUUUUUAUCUCCAUCUUUUGUACUCUUCAUUCUUUUGUCAUUAUAGUAAAAUUAUCUUUGCCCGUCGUUUUUUAUCCUCUUUUGAGGGGUUUUUCCACGUUAAAUUUGUGUGUUCAUCUUCUCAAUUUCUUCUACUAUUUUUACUUGUUCAUUACUUAAUCGGGACGAUCCUAACAACGAGCUUAAGUAUAUUCUUCGAUAGAAAUUUUUUUAGCUAACUGGAUAUAUAGUAAAAGCAGCAUUAAGUAUUCCUAAAAAGAUUUUUUAUCUUCGAUGAAUCAUCACCAAACACCAUGAUCACCUUUAAAGCGGAUAUUGAAAAUUCUCUCAUGUGUUCUAAACUUACACUCUACCUGUGCGAAUUGCAGAACUCCCCACAGUUAGUGAUUGUCUUUUUACCUUGUCCCUCUUUAGUCCCACAAAAUAAAUAAUUUAAUUUGUCUUUUUCCUUUUUUUUUUUUGUUUCUUUUUGCGAUAAUAAUGCAUCCACGUAACAUCAUCACUGCAUUGCAAAAAGUCCUUAGCUUUCAUACUUGCCAAUGCUUCUGUAUUUUUCCGAAAUUAAAUUGUAAUGAACCAAAAGAAAUCGUCUAUCACUACUUUUAGUUAAAAUUAAAUGAAAUACGAAAGGACACAAAAAGUAAUUGCCUACAUAAAUAUAUUACUUUUGUAGAGGUUAUAUUUAUGAUCUAUAUAGUAUAAUGUUGGGGUAAACUCGAGUUAAGAAACGAAUAAGAAUAAAUAGAGAAAAAUCGGAUACAAAUAUUUACAUGAAAAAACUCUUCUUAAGAGACAAUUCAUGGUUCAGACGACUAGUAAAAAUAGAAAAGAAUAAACGAAUUGAGUUGUGAAAUGAGUUCAUGGAUUUACCAAAUUUUUAGGUCUUUACAAAUUUAAUUUGUCUUUUUCCUUUUUUUGUUUCUUUUUGCAAUAAUAAUGCAUCCUUUCUUUUUUUUUUUCCAUAACGUGUGGUGGAGGUACUUCAGUCAUCAAUCAUAUUUUUGCUGGAGAAAUGUCUUCUUCGUUUCAUUAAUCAUUUAGAGCAUAAGCAAUUACAACUUCAUGAAAAAAAAUGGGUAUUCUUCCACCCACAUAACAUCAUCACUGUAUUGCAAAAAUUCCUUAGCUUUCACACUUGCCAAUGCUUCUGUUAGUUAAAUUUAAAUGAAAUACGAAAGGACACAAAAAAUAAUUGCCUACAUAAAUAUAUUACUUUUGUAGAGGUUAUAUUUAUGAUCUAUAUAGUAUAAUGUUGGGGUAAACUCGAGUUAAGCAACGAAUAAGAAUAAAUAGAGAAAAAUCACAUAUAAAUAUUUACUUAAAAAAUUCAUCUUAAGAGGAUAAAAAAUCACGGGUAAAAAAAACUUCACUAGAAUGGCAAAUAACUGAAGAGGAGUACAAGAUAGAGAAACAAAAAACAAAUCCAAACUCAAAAACACAAAGUUCUUCCGAAAUUCCCAAAAAACUCUCUCUUAAUUAUGUUGUUGAAUUGAUCUCUCUAGUGUUGCUAAAAGCCCUAUUUAUAGGCUGAAAUCCAUGUGAAAAUAUGACUAAAACAUCUCUAGAAUAAUCAAAGUUAAACUAGAAAAAGAUAACAAAGUUCAAUUAAGAGAUACAAUUCGGUUUAGUAGAUAACACAUCGUCACGUCGUGACAUGGCAUAUUGCCUUGUCGAGACGUCAUUCUUCGCAUCGUUAAGACAUUGUCUCUUUCUCGUCCCGACGUUAACCCUAUUUCAUCUAAAAUGUGAGGUAUAGAUGAGAGGGCCAAAUGAGAUUUCCAAACCACAAUAAUUUAAAAUGUUUGAUAUAUUAUAUAUUAUACACAUUAAAAGAUCUUAUUGGUCGAUUGUGGAGAUUAUUAUAUGCCAUUGCACGCUUUUCCUCUAUAAAUGAUGUUCUUCUUGAUUAUUCGUUCCAUACAUUGUUCUUAAAUCAAUGGCUGAGCAGUACAUGGCUGGAGUUGGAGGUGUUAUAGCCUCUCUUUUGGGGUUUGUUUUCUUGUACUGCAGUUCCCUAAUCAGAUUUAGGGGACUGAAGAAGCUAAACAGAGCAGCUUCAAUGGGGUUUCCAAAGAAAAACAGAGUAAACAAAACUGGAAAGAGUGAGGGUGUUGGCACUGCGGAUAUUAUCAUAGUCGGCGCCGGUGUUGCCGGUGCUGCUCUUGCCUAUUCUCUUGGAAAGGUCUCAUAAUUUCUUCUUUUUUCUUUAUUUUGUUCUACCAUUGUUUAAUCAUCUUAUUUUCCUCGUCUAGCAUAUAACAAUUACUAAUUUUUUAGUAAAAGUAUCAUGCUCCUAGUAAAGUUCCUGUACUAAGAUUAGAUUGCAUUUUAUUCCUUUUACUCAAAAAAUGAGUAAAUUAGUUCUUGUAGGAUAGAUUAAAUAGAAAAUUGGUAUUUUCUGUUAAAAAAUUUAUCCAUUUUUACUGUUAAAAAUUGACGUGGCUGAUGAUAUAACCAGUCAGUUACACAUAGUGUAUCAUGUGUACCUCAUGCUAACGUAUAGGGAUCGAUUUUAAAUAGUAGAAAUGAAUAGAAUUUUUAACUGAGAACCAGUUUGCUUUUUAAUAUAAUGAGACUAAUUUACUAUUUUUUAAGUAGAGGAACAAAAUGCAAUCUGAUUCUUAGUACAAUGGCCUCCAUGAUACUUUAACCAAAUUUUUUUGAAAAGAACAAUUACUAAUUAAGUUCGCAUUUUAUUAUUAUUGGUUGAAGUGAUAUAUGGGAAGAUAGUAUUUCGAUAACUUAAUUUAAGUUCACGUGAAUUUGUGUUGAUUUUUUUGUAAUAAAUUCAAAUUUUAAUUUGAUGGUAAAAUGAAAUAAUCAAUGUUGUUUUUGAAAUUAGAUUUAGAGUACUGGCUUGAGCUGGAUUUUAUAUAUUUUAUAUUUUUAAUAAUUUAUUUGAUUUAUAUAAAAUGAACAGAUUGAACCGAAAAUCAAUGAUUUUAUCAAUUUAACUACCGAUACGAUUUAAAAAUAAUAACUAAAAAUAUAUAUUUGACUCUUUUUAAUUGAUAACUAUGUAAUAUCAAGUAGUAGUUAAAAAAUAUAUAAAAUCUAUUUUGACAGUCCAAUUUGAUUUUAUUUAAUAUAAAUGCAUAUAAAUAUCUAAAUUACUGUCAUGUAUACUGCCAGUGAAAUUAAAAAAAAUUCAUAAGCAAGUUAAAAAAGAUUUUGUAUGUCCUUUAUUUAAAUAUAUGCUCAAAGUAGUUAUAGUGUAGAAACAAGCUUGUACAAAGGCGGGGAAAAAUCACGAUAAGAAAUAAUAUCUGAGUAAAAAACAUCCAUGGUAUACACACAUGAUGGAAUUAGAGAUUUACAUGUCACAAUUGCGCAUGAUAAAACUCAAACUUGAGUGCUUAAGAACCCAAAGUCUUUGCAUUAAGCAACAAUGCCAAGAUUUCAUUGGCUUUCAAAUUUGGAUUUCAAUAUGAUACCAUAUGUAACAAUUCUUAACAACUUACAUGUUACAGGAUGGACGUCGAGUACGAGUGAUAGAAAGGGACUUAAAUGCGCCUAAUAGAAUGGCUGGUGAAAGUCUAAUACCAGGGGGCUACUUAAAGUUAAUUGAAUUAGGCCUUGAGGGUAAACAAGAAAAAUCAUAGAUUUAAAUAGUAGAUGUAAUAUAAUGUUAUAAUGUUAUUUCUUUAUAAAAUUACUUAUUUUACUUUUAAGUGUUGGUUCUAUAGACUGUGUAGAUGAGAUUGAUGCGCAACGACUUUUGGGUUAUACUCUAUACAAGGAUGGAAAGGAGGCUCAAGUAUCUUUUCCUUUAGAAAAGUUCCAAUCUCAUGUUGCAGGAAGAACAUUUCAUAAUGGUCGUUUUGUUCAAAGGUUGCGGAAAAAAGUUGCAUCUCUUCACAAGUACUUUCUCUCUCCCUCCUCUCAAUCAUUCUUCAAUUUCAACAUAAGACACCAGAACAUUUUAUCUUAAAGGAUUAAGUGAUUUGUAGUUUGUUUUAAUUCAUUGCUUCUGUUUAGACCUGUCAAUUGAGCUAGUCAAGUCGAUUUUGGGUCAAGUCAACCUAGAUCGAGUCAUUCGAGUUUUACAAUUUUUUGCUUAAAUUUGGUUUUAGUGAGCUUAGAUUCAAGUCAUUUCAGGUUUGGGUUAAAUUCGGGUUUGGACCGUUUCAAGUUUGGAUUUGAGUCCUUUCGGGUUUAGGUCAAUAGGGUUUGAAGCUCAAGUUUUUAGGGUCAGCUCAUGAUAGGUUCAUGUCAUUUUAGGUUACAGUCACCUCGAUUUUUUAUCUUUUCAAGUUGCUUGUUUGGAUCAUUUUGGGUUUGAGUAGCCAAUUUAUGUUAGAGUAAAACGAGGUUCAGUUUAGAGGGAUUCAUGUUGUUGACCAUUUAUAGUCAAAUCAAGGCAAGUUUAGGUUUGAAUUGAUCAAGUUAUAUUUUAGGCUUAAGUUAACAUUGACAAGUUCACUUCUAUUUGUAUUUACUUGUUACAACAAUUUAUUAUAAAGAGUACAUUUGAAAUUAUACUUUUUCUUUAGAAGAUCCAAUUUGAUGUUUUGAUGUUAUGAUAAUGUAGCAUAAGUUUAGAACAAGGGACAGUAACAUCUCUGAUCGAAGAAAAUGGUAUUGUUAAAGGAGUGCAGUACAAAAAUGAGAGUGGUCAAGUGUUGACAGCUUAUGCUUCUCUCACAAUUGUAUGCGAUGGUUGUUUCUCAAAUUUGAGACGCUCUCUUUGCUAUCCUAAGGUGAAAAUGCUUGGGAAUUCUUGUUAAAUUUGUUCAAUUAUGGUUUAUGUCUCUUUAUUAUGCUAAAAUUUUAUAUUUAAUCAUUCUACUUUAUUUUUUAUUUAAUUUAAAUCCAUUUAUUUUUAUAAUGUUAUUGUAUGUCCAAAUUAAUAAUAUUAUUAGUUGCUUUUUAUUAUAAAUGGUACCUACUAAUAACAUUUAGAGAUCAAUUUUUUUUUCCAAAUUAAAGCAAAGAGAUUAAAUUCUAAUUUUAGGAUAAUAGAGGGGCUAAAUCCUAAAUUCUAUGCUUUGAGAAAAUAUAUAAAGGUCUUUAUUAUUUUUGCAGGUUGAUAUACCCUCUUAUUUUGUUGGUUUUAUACUGACGAACUGUAACCUUCCAACUAAAAAUUAUGGAGCUAUUAUAUUAGCACACCCUUCGCCAAUCGUAUUCUCUCCCAUUAGCAGCACUGAAAUUCGUUGCAUGGUGAAUGUUCCUAGUGAAAAGGUACCUUCAGUUUCCAAUGGUGAAAUGGCAUGUUACUUGAAAACUCAGGUGGCUCCCAAGGUAUAUUUAGAUCUUUCUUUUCUUCUUUCAUUAGGGGAAUUUGGCUUAAUUUAUGGACGAACUGUAUGGCUUAUAAUACAUUUCAGGUUCUUCCUGAAUUGUACGAUUCCUUUAUAUCAGCAAUAGAGAAGAAGGGUAACAUAAGAAUAGCGCCGAAUAAAAUUAUGGCUGCUGCUCCACACCUGACUCCUGGUGCGCUUUUGAUUGGAGAUGCACUCAACAUGCGGCACGCUAUAACCGGAGGGGGAAUGACUGUUGCUCUGUCUGAUGUUGUAAUACUUAGGGAUCUUCUAAGACCCUUGCAUGAUCUAUCCGAUGCAUCCACCAUUUCUAAAUAUCUCGAAUCUUUUUACACCCUGAGGAAGGUAUUGUAGCUUCAUGUUUUAUAUGCAUUUUGAAAGUGAAUGGCAAUGAUGAAAACUGUUAAGAAAUGGCUUAAAAUUGGUAGUGGAUUGUUGUUGUUGGUAGUGGGUUGUUGGUGGUAGUGGAUUAGUGGAUGGUUGUUGGUGUCCAUUUUCAACCACAAAUCUUUGCCAAAGUUUUGGACAAUUAUGUCCUUGAACUCUCUUAUAAAUAGAGAGGUUCAUUAGCCAUAUUCAUCAUCCCAAACCAAGAGAGAGCAAAGCUUGUUCUUUGAAAGCUAGGAUUUUAGCUUUCGGGUUUUCUAUAGGGGUUGAGAGUUGUGAGGUUCUCGGGUUGUGUCUUGAGUGUAAAACACUUGUAAUCUUCAUCUUGUUAUAGUGAAAUUUCUUUUCGCCUCUGCCCGUGGACGUAGGCAUUAAAGCCGAACCACGUAAAUCCUUGUGUUCACUUUAUUUUUCGUUCCGGUCAAUUUACUUGUAGUCAUAUCGG
rnacentral:lncRNA from 1 species